rnacentral:rRNA from 1 species
UACGGAGGGAGCUAGCGUUGUUCGGAAUUACUGGGCGUAAAGCGCACGUAGGCGGCUUGUAAGUUAGAGGUGAAAGCCCGGGCUCAACUCCGGAACUGCCUUAAAACUGCAUCGCUUGAAUCAGGAGAGGUGAGUGAAUUCCGAGUGUAGAGGUGAAUUCGUAGAUAUAGGAGAACACCGAUGGCGAAGGCGGUCUCUGGCCGAUACUGACGCUGAGAGCGAAGCGUGGGAGCGAACAGG